UACAGAGGUGGCGAGCGUUAUUCGGAAUUAUUGGGCGUAAAGGGCGCGUAGGCGGCUUGACAAGUCCCGGGUGAAAUCCCUCGGCUCAACCGAGGAACUGCCUUGGAAACUGUCUGGCUUGAGGCCGGGAGAGGGUAGUGGAAUUCCCAGUGUAGAGGUGAAAUUCGUAGAUAUUGGGAAGAACACCGGUGGCGAAGGCGGCGACCUGGUCCGAUACUGACGCUGAGGCGCGAAAGCGUGGGGAGCAAACAGG
rnacentral:rRNA from 1 species